CUGCCACAUCAUGUUGAAAACACCAGUUCCUCAUACAAUCACCAAAGUUAAGCAAUAUUGUGCCUGGUCAGUAUCUAGAUGGGUAACCACUUGGGAAUACCAGCUGCUGUAAG